AGCCCAAACAUUUUAUUGAGACUGAGACAGAGAGAAAAAAGAGACACUAGGUUGGAGGGUGUUCCUGUCGGUUCUUCAGACCUGUUUGAGUGUUAUAUUUCUUCAUC